CCCUGGCCUGGCUCCUGACGCCCGUGCUGCCGGUGAAACGCUGUUGACAUGUCCUGAAUUAUUAAGCACGGGGUGGGCUCCGGAGCACAUGCUGAGCGGAGCGGCUGGGGCUGCGCGGCGUGGCGGAGCAGCGCUCGCUCCCUCGCUCACUUGCUCGCUCGCAGGGACACACGCAGGGGCUGACAGCUGUGCUGGUGCUGAUAAGGGAAGCCACAAGGAGACGAUCGAGGAGAGAGACAAGCGGCAGCAGAGGCAGCAGCGGCAGAGGCAGCACCAGGGCUGCGGAGCUGCUGGGAGUGGGAGUGACUCCCCCACCUCGGGCCCCCACCCUGUCCCUGUCCUCUUCCCGCUUGCCCUGAGUUUAGAAGAGCAGCCGCUGCCACCACCGCCACUCGGGAGGGCACCAGGGCUGCUGGCUAGGGAGGGACAGGGCAGGGAGGCUCUGGCCAGUCCCAGCAGCCGGGGACAGAUGCCGAUCGAGAUUGUGUGCAAAAUCAAAUUUGCUGAGGAGGAUGCGAAACCCAAGGAGAAGGAGGCAGGGGAUGAGCAGAGCCUCCUCGGGGCUGCUGCCUCUGGAGCAGCCCCCCGAGACCUGGCCACCUUUGCCAGCACCAGCACCCUGCAUGGACUGGGCCGGGCCUGUGGCCCAGGCCCCCACGGACUGCGCAGAACCCUGUGGGCACUGGCCCUACUCACCUCGCUGGCUGCCUUCCUGUACCAGGCGGCUGGCCUGGCCCGGGGCUACCUGACCCGGCCUCACCUGGUGGCAAUGGACCCCGCUGCCCCAGCCCCAGUGGCGGGCUUCCCGGCUGUCACCCUCUGCAAUAUCAACCGCUUCCGGCAUUCGGCACUCAGCGAUGCCGACAUCUUCCACCUGGCCAAUCUGACAGGGCUGCCCCCCAAAGACCGGGAUGGGCACCGUGCGGCUGGCCUGCGCUACCCAGAGCCUGACAUGGUAGACAUCCUCAACCGCACUGGCCACCAGCUCGCCGACAUGCUUAAGAGCUGCAACUUCAGUGGGCAUCACUGCUCCGCCAGCAACUUCUCUGUGGUCUAUACUCGCUAUGGGAAGUGUUACACCUUCAACGCGGACCCGCGGAGCUUGCUGCCCAGCCGGGCAGGGGGCAUGGGCAGUGGCCUGGAGAUCAUGCUGGACAUCCAGCAGGAGGAGUACCUGCCCAUCUGGAGGGAGACAAAUGAGACGUCGUUUGAGGCAGGUAUUCGGGUGCAGAUCCACAGCCAGGAGGAGCCGCCCUACAUCCACCAGCUGGGGUUUGGGGUGUCCCCAGGCUUCCAGACCUUUGUGUCCUGCCAGGAACAGCGGCUGACCUACCUGCCCCAGCCCUGGGGCAACUGCCGCGCAGAGAGUGAGCUCAGGGAGCCUGAGCUUCAGGGCUACUCGGCCUACAGUGUGUCUGCCUGCCGGCUGCGCUGUGAAAAGGAGGCCGUGCUUCAGCGCUGCCACUGCCGGAUGGUGCACAUGCCAGGCAAUGAGACCAUCUGCCCACCAAAUAUCUACAUCGAGUGUGCCGACCACACACUGGGAAAAAUGCAUUGCUGGCUAUCGGUGUGGGUAAGGCAAACCCCAUCUGUCCACAGAUCUUGCCUGAUCUGCAGUUCAUCCAUCUAUCCAUCCAUUCAUCGAUUCGCGCAUUCUCCAGACCUUUACAGCCUGUGCUGGGUACUGGAGGCCUGCAGGAGGAGAGAGAGACCUGUGGCUGUCCGAGAGGGCUGACUGACAGCAGCAUGGCUGGAGGAGCACAGCCUCUGCCACCUACGGCCUGGCAGUGAGGAAGCCAGGCGGGAGAAAUACCCUGGCAUCUCUUCCCUCUCACCUUCUGUUUCUGCUGGGGCCUCCUGUUGGCCAAACUCAACCCAAAGCCAGAGGACAAGGGAGUUUAGUUGAUGCAUUUGGGGGAGAUCAGCCUCAUAGGGUACAGAGCAAGGUUGAAGAGUGGAGAGUGGAUCUGAAGGGGCAGGCAGAGAAAGCCCAGCACAUUGAUCCUGGGAAGCUUGUCGGUCUAUUUGUUCUUCUGUUCGCCCAUCCGUCGAUCUGGCCAUCUGCCAUCCAUCCAUCCAUCCAUCCAUCCAUCCAUGCAUGCAUCCCAGCAUCCUCUCCACACCUCCUUGUGUGUCUGAGGCCUCACAUAGUUGAUUAGCUCUGGUGGAUGGGCUCUGUUCUCCCUCUGGGCCACGAGGACCCCCUCCCCAGUCCCAGGGGGUUGGGAGGGUGCUGGGGGAUUCUGCUUAUAUCUGCUCUCUGGAGCAGUCUGAAGCUGGUUCAGGUGGGGACCUGCAGCCAGUCCCCUCUAGGAAGCACUGGGGCUGGCCAGUAAAGGCCCUCAGUGUGGGUGUGCCUGCCUCAGGACGGCCCCUGGGCCUCCUCUCUGCAGCUGGUGGGCCACUGGACCACCCUUCUCCAACUCCCACUGUAGCUGCUACCUCUGUGUUGCAGACUCCCUGGGUGGGGGCCCUGAGGGCCCGUGCUUCUGCCCCACCCCCUGCAACCUGACGCGCUACGGGAAAGAGAUCUCCAUGGUCAGGAUCCCCAACAGGGGCUCAGCCCGGUACCUGGCGAGGAAGUACAACCGCAACGAGACCUACAUACGGGAGAACUUCCUGGUCCUAGACGUCUUCUUUGAGGCCCUGACCUCUGAAGCCAUGGAGCAGCGAGCAGCCUAUGGCCUGUCAGCCCUGCUGGGAGACCUCGGGGGACAGAUGGGCCUGUUCAUUGGGGCCAGCAUCCUCACGUUGCUGGAGAUCCUCGACUACAUCUAUGAGGUGUCCUGGGAUCGACUGAAGCGGGUAUGGAGGCGUCCCAAGACCCCCCUGCGGACCUCCACUGGGGGCAUCUCCACUUUGGGGCUUCAGGAGCUGAAGGAACAGAGUCCCUGCCCGAGCCGGGGCCGAGCGGAGGGUGGGGGGGUCAGCAGUCUGCUCCCCAACCACCACCACCCUCACGGUCCCCCAGGAGGUCUCUUUGAAGAUUUCGCUUGCUAGGACGGUGCUGUGACUGAAAGGACCCAGGAGUCUGGGACCCCUCCUGGGAUCCCCAGCACAUUCUCCUGCUCCUGGGAGAGGCCUGGGGGCGGUGCUCACUGGGAGGGCCAGGACUCAGUUCCUGCUCUCAUCCUCCCCUGCCCUGAUGUCAGCUGCUUUGCACAAAGGUCCUUCUUGUCCACACCCCUUAUCCCCAGGCUGGUGCCCCGGGAGGGCUGGAGACCAGGCCAUGGGCCCUCAUGGAGAGGAAGGGAAGGAAGGAGAGGGAGGGGGAGGAUAGAGCCCAUCCCAGCCGGGGAGGGGGAGCCCUCUGUACAUUUGUAAAUAUUUAGGGAAAGCCGGGUGGGGUGGGGGGAUACAGAUGUAGAAGGUGGGUAGGGCUACAGGGGUGGGUGAUUUAGGGACAGCCAGGGUCCCAGGCCCAAUGUCAGCAGGAUAGGGAGAGCCCCAGGACUCAGGAGUGCUGGGCUGGUCCUACUUCCUGCCCCUCUCCAGGCCCAGCUCCCCUCUUGGCAGGGGGAGAGGAUGGCCCAGCAGGCCUGGCCCAGCUCCCAGUUCCCCCUGCACCAGCCCCACCCCUAGAGUCCCUUCUAUAGGGAGGGGGCAGGAGACCUUCCAGACUUCGGCUGAGCUUGGAGGGUGGGAAGGGAGCCUUCUCAGUCCUCUCUCCCUCCAGUCUGAUUUUAUAAAGUGCUGACGAGAUUGGGAAUAAAGAGGCAUAAAGAA